rnacentral:misc_RNA from 1 species
CGGGCUGAGAUUGGGGUUGAUUUAUCGGUUGAACGUGUUUGGUUAUCUCCGUGUUCCGCUAUCUCCAAUUGGUGCUGUGUUAGUUGGUUACUAAUCGCUACCUACUGUUUAGUGCACUUAGCUGCCUUGUCGGAGAGAGUCAAACUUCCGGCUGUUGACAUACUACCGGCUCUGUCUAUCGAAUUCAAUUGCGGUUUGGCCUGCACAGAGUCAGACAAGCCACUGCCGCCAGGAGUGUCAUGAGCCCCUUGCAGGACUGGAGGUAGAGAUCGGAGGUCAGAGGUCGGUCGGACCAAAGUCUGAGCCAGAAGUCUGAGUCAGAGUCUGAGUCAGAGUCAGAGUCAGAGUCAGAGUCAGUGUCAGAGAUCUCGUCUCGGUCUGGACUGUUGGGCUGUUGGAGCGGUGGACUGUUGGAGUGGUGACUGUUGGAGCGCUGGGCUGUUCUGUGGUGACUGUUGGAGUGAUACUCUUACUCACUCUCUCACCCACUCUCACCCUCACUCACAUUAAACCCCACCUACUCUAGUAUUUCUAGCCGCUGAGCCGCUUGGUUCACCUGCCGAUUCACCGCUUGGUUCACCUGCUGAUUCACCGCUUGGUUCACCUGUCGAACUCGCCGCUUGGUUCACACUCCGCGCUUCACACUCCGCGCUUGGUUCACUGGUCUAGCUUCGAGCUUCGCUACUCUUACUCAUGCACUUGCCUCACUCUCACUCUUACUCUUCGAGCCGUCUGACUUGACAAUAAAAACAUGGUUCAGCUCUGCCAGCUGAUGGCGCACUCUCUACAGCGCUGGCCGGCUUUUACAACCGCACGGCUUGUACUGAAAUGGCACUAGCUACUUGUAGUCUGGUGCGACUCGAAUAGUACCAAAAGCUGGCUCCAUCUCCACCAACUGAGUCAUGGAAAGACCUCCGAGCGCACGUGACUAGUCAUGUGACCAACACCACCCCGACCGGACCCCCCAACCGCCCGACUGCCCGAAACUCCGACACUGACCCGUAUUCAAAUAACCGUACACCACGUACUGUACAAGGGAUCGUCUGAAACAGGCAAAUUCUGGCCCGGCUAGACUCGAGGCGCGCCGUUUGGCCCUUAGGGCCGAUCACGUGACCCGGAACAUGGCCGACAAGCAAGAUUUAACAGCCGAUGCGAUGAUUGAAGAUGUCUUGUUUUUGUUAUCGACAGCAGACCAAACUGUACAACCAACCAGUGGAUGUGAACUUUUUAUCGCUGCAUCAGAGACAGUGAGAGCUGCGAUAGGCGGCCUGGCCAGCGGUCAAAGAGGCAUCUGGCCAUUUUUCAGUGUCUUUUCCAAGUCCGUGAAACGAGCUGGGGCUCUCCCUGAUAUUCCGUGUGCCUGGUAGACGCAUAGGGGACAGAAGGGUUUCUAGAAUCUCCAAUACGUCCCGUAAUGAACAAGAGAUCAAGUUUGGGGGUCUGUGAAUGGUUGACCUUGCUGUUUCUAAACGGGUGGGUUCAAUACCGUCGUUUUGGUUCUUUUGCCGACCCUUGUACAAGUACUGCACUGGUAUCAGACCAGUAAUCUGAACAAGACACCAUCAGAAGUACCCCCUCAGCUAUACGAACUUCUCCACGGGGUUCUAAAGGUCACGUGACACACACACACACACACACACACACGGACACACCACCUGUCCCCCCUUCCUCCUCCACUAAAACUCAGCCCAUUAUCUUCCCCUCUGGCUGACACUCUAAGCCCGAUAUACUGUGUCUGCACAGCUCAAAUAAACGAGAAACUAAAGACCAGCAAUCUUUGGCGCCUCGUGCGGGUCGUGUGGGCUCGUUUUGCACUCUAUUUUCUGUUUACUCAUUGUGCUAGUAGCGGCGCGGAGGACGAUCCCGGGGAUGUUGGAGUUUUGGUGUUCCACGAAAGCCCAACUCGAGUCCCUCAGGGGGGGGGAGGGAAGGGUGUUUGGGUCACGUGUCCCAUACAAAAGGGGCGACAAGAGGCCCGUAUUUGAAUUUCCCGGGUCUAGGACUUGUUGGUCCAUUUCUGGGCAUUUGGAAGAUUUUUUAUUUUAUUUUUGACCCCCCAAAAAAGGACAAGCUCCAGGGUUCAACUGGUUUGUCGUUUAUUUACCAAGUUUGAAAAAGUGGGGGAAAAUACACAGAUGGCGGAGGAGAAUUUUGUAAAAUCUGGAAAAACCACGGAAAACAUCCAGUUACGUGACUGGAAUUGUUCCGCAUUUUCCCGGAGUUUGCAAAAAUUCAUUGCCCUUUUCUCCGUCUCUCUCUCAGUAACUCACAGCAUGCAGUAGUGUGUGUGUAUGAUUUGCCCGAUGUGCAUGGAGAUGCAUUAAGGGAUGGAAGUAAUUAUUAUUGUGUUUGGAUUGUGUUCGCCAGUGUCAACUGAUGACAUUAGAAUUGGUGCUAGUGAGAUGGGCAUUGGCCAACGGGGUUAGGUCACGUGACGGGGAUCAGUGGGGAGUGUGUGUGGAGUUUUUGGGGUGAAUUAAUCGAGUCUGGAGGUAGUUUGGUGGUUCUUGGUAGUUUGGUGGUUCUUGAUAGUUUGGUGGUACUUGGUACUUUAGUUGGAUGUUACCUUUUUUUGUAUUUUUUAUAAUAACAUUGUCAAGUA